rnacentral:tRNA from 1 species
GGGGGUGUAGCUCAGUUCGGCAGAGCACUUCGUUCGCAACGAAGGGGCCGUCGGUUCAAAUCCGAUCACCUCCACCA